rnacentral:rRNA from 1 species
CCCUUAGAUGUUCUGGGCCGCACACGCGCUACACUGAUUCAUGCAACAAGUUUUGUCCUUGGCUGAUAGGCCUGGGUAAUCUUUGAACGUGAAUCGUGAUGGGGAUAGAUGAUUGCAAUUAUUCAUCUUCAACGAGGAAUUCCUAGUAAACGCAAGUCAUCAGCUUGCAUUGAUUACGUCCCUGCCCUUUGUACACACCGCCCGUCGCUCCUACCGAUUUCGAGUGGUUCGGUGAACCUUUCGGACCGGCAAUGCCUCGUGUUGCGCCGGAAAGUCAAGUAAACCAUAUCACUUAGAGGAAGGAGAAGUCGUAACA